GAUGAACGCUGGCGGCGUGCCUAAUACAUGCAAGUCGAGCGAACGGACGAGAAGCUUGCUUCUCUGAUGUUAGCGGCGGACGGGUGAGUAACACGUGGAUAACCUACCUAUAAGACUGGGAUAACUUCGGGAAACCGGAGCUAAUACCGGAUAAUAUUUUGAACCGCAUGGUUCAAAAGUGAAAGACGGUCUUGCUGUCACUUAUAGAUGGAUCCGCGCUGCAUUAGCUAGUUGGUAAGGUAACGGCUUACCAAGGCAACGAUGCAUAGCCGACCUGAGAGGGGGAUAGGCCACACGGGAACGGAGCCACGGUCAAGACUACUACGGGAGGCAGCAGUAGGGAAUCUGACGCAAUGGGGGAAAGCCUGACGGAGCAACGCGGCGUGAGUGAUGAAGGCCUUCGGAUCGUAAAACUCUGUUAUUAGGGAAGAACAUAUGUGUAAGUAACUGUGCACAUCUUGACGGUAACUAAUCAGAAAGCCCCGGCUAACUACGUG
rnacentral:rRNA from 1 species